rnacentral:rRNA from 1 species
AUUGAACGCUGGCGGCAGGCCUAACACAUGCAAGUCGAACGAGUGGCGGACGGGUGAGUAAUGUCUGGGAAACUGCCCGAUGGAGGGGGAUAACUACUGGAAACGGUAGCUAAUACCGCAUACCAUCGGAUGUGCCCAGAUGGGAGUAGUUUGUAGGUGAGGUAACGGCUCACCUAGGCGACGAUCCCUAGCUGGUCUGAGAGGAUGACCCGGCACUCGGGAACUGAGACACGGGCCAGACGCCUACGGGAGGCAGCAGUGGGGAAUAUUGCACAAUGGGCGCAAGCCUGAUGCAGCCAGGCAGCGUGUAUGAAGAAGGCCUUCGGGUUGUAAAGUACUUUCAGCUGGGAGGCGUGACCCGCAGAAGAAGCACCGGCUAACGCCGUGCCAGCAGCCGCGGUAAUAC